rnacentral:lncRNA from 1 species
CCAGGUGAUCCAUCCUUGCCAUCUUCGCCUUUAGCUCCUGGAACACCUGGAAUACCAGCCUCACCCUGAAAAAAAAAAAAGAUGGUAAAAUAAAGAAAUUAUGACUGAAUUUAGUUCAAAGUUUUUACCUGUUUACUUUCUAAUUAUGUUGCAUUUUUUCAAGAAAUAACCAGAUCUGUUGCAGUAAAACUUACGCGUUCACCACGUGGUCCGGGCUCUCCUUUGGCACCAUUCUUACCAGGCUCACCCUAAAGUAUAACAAAGUCUUGGUUGAAACACAGGGAGGAUUCGACUAACAAAUCAUCACCAGUAACACAUAAUUCAGUUAUAAGUUAUAAGACAAGAGUGAAGUCAAUAUAAAUUCAACUGAACAGGAGCAAAAUUUUGCUAUUAAUUUUUUGUUGAUGGAAUUAAACUAUACCUUUCAGUCAACAGAGAAAAAACAAGGCAACUUACUGCACCACCUCGCAGUCCAGGAGCACCAUUAGCACCGGCUGGUCCUGGAGGACCCCGGGCUCCCAUCAGUCCAGGAGCUCCAGGAAUGCCAGCGGGACCCUAAGAACAAACCAAAGACACUAUAUUAGCCGAACUUGAAUGUUCUUUUAUGAAUAUCUCACUUAAAUAUCACAAAUCUAUUGUCAUGCAAAAUGCAAAAGAAGCCAGUAAUGUGUGGAUGAGAUAAGGCUGAGGAGUGGGGACAGCUUACCAUUUCGCCUUUACCACCA